CCUAAAAUCUAGCCCAUGAAACUCUAAUGAAACCUUUAACCCACUGCCCAUAAACAAACCAUUCUUAUAUUCUAGUACAGGAGAUCAAAAAAUUCAUAAGCGCUUUAGAUAAAGUACCGCAAGGGAAUGAUGAAAUAAAAAUGAAAUAAUUUUUAAGCUAAACAUAGCAGAGCCACCCCCUCGUACCUUUUGCAUCAUGGUCUAGCUAGUCUAACCAAGCAAAAAGAAAAUUUAAGUUUAACACCCCGAAACUAGACGAGCUACUUCAAAACAGCUCCCAGGAGCCAACCCGUCUCUGUUGCAAAAGAGUGGGAAGAUUUUUAAGUAGAGGCGAUAAACCUAACGAGCCUAGAGAUAGCUGGUUGUUCAGGAAAAGAGUUUUAGCUCUACCUUAAGUUUCCUCGUUAUACCAACAACCUCCCUAAACUUAAGAGCUAUUCAAAUAAGGCACAGCUUAUUUGAAACAGGACACAACCUAAACCACAGGGUAAACAAGGGGAACUAAACAAUAGGCCUAACAGCAGCCCAAAAAGCGUCAAAGCUUAAUUAUUUUCCAUAAUUCCUUCAAAUCCUUUAACCUUAACCACUACUGAACCAUUUUAUAUUUUUAUAAAAAUAAUUAUGCUAGAACUAGUAACAAGAAAUUAUAUUUCUCCAAAAUGUAAGCACAAGCCAAAACGGACCGCCCAUUGGCACCUAACGUAAAUGUCCAUCCUAUAACAACUCCCACCAAGAAAACCAUAAAGUUUCUACGUUAACCUUACACCAGAACAUUUAAGAAAGAUUUAAAGAGAAAGAAGGAACUCGGCAAACUUUAGCCCCGCCUGUUUACCAAAAACAUCGCCUCUUGAAAAUAUAAGAGGUCCAGCCUGCCCAGUGACAAAGUUCAACGGCCGCGGUACCCUAACCGUGCGAAGGUAGCAUAAUCACUUGUUCUUUAAAUAGGGACUAGUAUCAAAGGCACCACGAGGGCCAUACUGUCUCCUUUCUCCAAUCAGUGAAACUGAUCUCCCCGUGAAGAAGCGGGGAUAUAUCUAUAAGACGAGAAGACCCCAUGGAGCUUCAAGCAAUGUGUUCACCCUUACGUUUAUUUACUUAACAAAAAACUCUGAACACUAGCUUUAGGUUGGGGGGACCGCGGAGCAUAAUUUAACCUCCACGACAAAAGGGCCACGCCCUAAUCCAUGAGAUACAAUUCUAAGAAUCAACAAACUGAUGUUUUAUGAACCGAUAAUUCGAUCAACGAACCAAGUUACCUGGGGAUAACAGCGCAAUUACUUCAAGAGCCCUUAUCGACAAGUAGGUUUACGACCUCGAUGUGGAUCAGGGA
rnacentral:rRNA from 1 species